rnacentral:rRNA from 1 species
GAAAGAGAAGUCAGAGCGCACGGAGGAUGCCUUGGCUUCGGCAGGCGAAGAAGGACGCGGUAAGCUGCGAAAAUGUCCGGGGAUUUGCAAACGGGAGUUGAUCCGGACGUGUCCGAAUGGGGCAACCCGCACGGCUGAAGGCCGUGCACCGGCGCGAGCCGGGGCGAACCCGGGGAACUGAAACAUCUUAGUACCCGGAGGAGAAGAAAGAAACAGUCGAUUCCCUUAGUAGUGGCGAUCGAAGAGGGAGGAGCCUAAACCGCCGCGUUCGAGGACGCGGCGGGGUUGUAGGACCGGCGAUGUCCGCAUCCGCGCAAACCGGAGCAUGUCUGGAAAGCGUGGGCGCAGAGGGUGACACCCCCGUACGGGUAACGUGCGGAUGCGGAUGCCGGCACCUGAGUAGGGCGGGGCACGUGGAAUCCUGUCCGAAUCAGCGGGGACCAUCCCGCAAGGCUGAAGACUGCCGAAGACCGAUAGUGUACCAGUACCGUGAGGGAAAGGUGGGAAGCACCCCGGGAGGGGAGUGAAAUAGAGCCUGAAACCGUGCGCUUGCAAGCGGUCGGAGCACCAUUAUGGUGUGACGGCGUGCCUUUUGCAUAAUGAGCCUACGAGUUGCCUCACGCCGGCGAGGCUAAGCCAUUCAGUGGCGGAGCCGCAGCGAGAGCGAGUCUGAACAGGGCGUUCAGUCGGCGUGAGCAGACGCGAAACCUAGUGAUCUACCCUUGUCCAGGGUGAAGGGGCCGUAACAGGCUCUGGAGGCCCGAACCAGUUUCCGUUGAAAAGGGCUUGGAUGAGGCGAGGGUAGGAGUGAAAGGCCAAUCAAACUGGGAGAUAGCUCGUACUCCCCGAAAUGUCUUUAGGGACAGCCUCGUCAGUUUCCCGCGUGAGGUAGAGCUACCGAUUGGAAGCGAGGGCUUCGCCGCCUAUCAAUUCCAGACGAACUCCGAAUGCGCGCGGUGAUCUAUGACGGGAGUGAGUCGUCGGGUGCUAAUAUCCGGCGGCGAGAGGGUAAGAGCCCAGACCUCCGGCCAAGGCCCCCAAGAACGGUCUAAGUUGAGACAGAACGAAGUGGCACCGCAGAGACAGCCAGGAUGUUAGCUUGGAAGCAGCUAUUCAUUCAAAGAGUGCGUAACAGCUCACUAGUCGAGAGUCCCUGCGCCGAAAAUGUCCGGGGCUGAAACACAACACCGAAGCCGUGGACUCCGUAAGGAGUGGUAGAGGAGCAUUCUUAAAACCGACGAAGCUGUACCGGUAAGGAGCAGUGGAGGGAUAAGAAGAGAGAAUGCCGGAAUGAGUAGCGAGAGGAAGGUGAGAAUCCUUCCGGCCGAAUAUCUAAGGUUUCCAGAGUAAAGCUGAUCUGCUCUGGGUAAGUCGGGGCCUAAGGAGAGGUCGCAAGACGUAUCCGAUGGACAACAGGUUUAGAUUCCUGUACCGCAUAUAAACAGAACUGUGGGGACGCAUGUGGAAAGCAUAAGCCGGGAAUGGAAAGACCGGUACAAGCGAGGUAGGUGUGUGACAGGCAAAUCCGUCAUAUAAGCCGAAGACGUGAUGUGGAGCGAAAUUAAGUAGUGAAGUAUGUGAGCCAUGUGCCGAGAAAAGCCGCUAUUGUUUUAUAUGUGCCCGUACCGUAAACCGACACAGGUGGAUGAGGAGAGAAUCCUAAGGCCGACGGAAGAAGCAUUGUUAAGGAAUUCGGCAAAAUGACCCCGUAACUUCGGGAGAAGGGGUGCCUGCGAGAGCAGGCCGCAGAGAAUAGGCUCAAGCAACUGUUUAGCAAAAACACAGGUCUAUGCGAAACCGAAAGGUGAGGUAUAUGGGCUGACGCCUGCCCGGUGCUGGAAGGUUAAGAGGAGAGGUUAGCGCAAGCGAAGCUUUGAAUUUAAGCCCCAGUAAACGGCGGCCGUAACUAUAACGGUCCUAAGGUAGCGAAAUUCCUUGUCGGGUAAGUUCCGACCCGCACGAAAGGCGUAAUGAUUUGAGCACUGUCUCGACAAUGCAUCCGGUGAAAUUGAAGUACCAGUGAAGAUGCUGGUUACCUGCGCCAGGACGGAAAGACCCCAUGGAGCUUUACUCCAGCUUGAUACUGGGAUUCGGUAUUGCAUGUACAGGAUAGGUGGGAGGCUAGGAAGUGAUAACGCCAGUUGUCACGGAGCCGCUGUUGGGAUACCACCCUUGCAGUAUUGGAUUUCUAACCAGCGACCAUGAACUGGUCGGGGGACAAUGUCAGGUGGGGAGUUUGACUGGGGCGGUCGCCUCCGAAAGGGUAUCGGAGGCGCUCAAAGGUUCCCUCAGAAUGGUCGGAAACCAUUCGAAGAGUGCAAAGGCAGAAGGGAGCUUGACUGCGACACCGACGGGUGGAGCAGGUACGAAAGUAGGACUUAGUGAUCCGGUGGUAUAAAGUGGGAUUGCCAUCGCUCAACGGAUAAAAGCUACCCUGGGGAUAACAGGCUUAUCACUCCCAAGAGUUCACAUCGACGGAGUGGUUUGGCACCUCGAUGUCGGCUCAUCGCAUCCUGGGGCUGUAGUAGGUCCCAAGGGUUGGGCUGUUCGCCCAUUAAAGCGGUACGCGAGCUGGGUUCAGAACGUCGUGAGACAGUUCGGUCCCUAU